GGCAUCCAACUAUGGUGGUGAUUACAUGUCUCGUGGCAGUGAUGUUGGCUCCUCGCUUUAUUCUAGUCGUAGUAUGGGUGGCAGUGGUUAUAUGGGAAGUGGUGGGUCUGGUUCUUACUACUAAGAUUUGAGUUGACAAAAGAGCUUGCAGUUGGAUGUGUUAACAUUGAAGCCCUAUGCAUUGACAUGCCUCUGUCCUCUGAGGGAGAUGGAGUUUAUCUGUUAUCUAUUGCUUCUUUGUAUAUGUACGGCUAGAUAAUUUAGCAUUAGAGGUUGUAUUGCUCCGAAGCAUCUUGGAUUCUAAUUGGGAAAAGAAACAUCUGUUCCUUUUCUGAUGUAAGGAAAUUUGAGUUAUGUAGAGCAAACAGAGAUCUGUUUAUUUCUGGUAUAUGAGCAUGCAAUAAUUUGUAGUGGUUUCUCCUUUU